CUACUCUUGACAUCCAGAGAAUUCGCUAGAGAUAGCUUAGUGCCUUCGGGAACUCUGAGACAGGUGCUGCAUGGCUGUCGUCAGCUCGUGUUGUGAAAUGUUGGGUUAAGUCCCGCAACGAGCGCAACCCUUAUCCUUGUUUGCCAGCGAGUAAUGUCGGGAACUCCAGGGAGACUGCCGGUGAUAAACCGGAGGAAGGUGGGGACGACGUCAAGUCAUCAUGGCCCUUACGGGAUGGGCUACACACGUGCUACAAUGGCAGAUACAGAGGGCAGCGAGACCGCGAGGUGGAGCGAAUCCCACAAAGUCUGUCGUAGUCCGGAUUGGAGUCUGCAACUCGACUCCAUGAAGUCGGAAUCGCUAGUAAUCGUGGAUCAGAAUGCCACGGUGAAUACGUUCCCGGGUCUUGUA
rnacentral:rRNA from 1 species